rnacentral:tRNA from 1 species
UGAUGUGGCUCAGGGGUAGAGCGUUCCCUUGGUAAGGGAGAGGUCACGGGUUCAAUUCCCGUCAUCA